rnacentral:rRNA from 1 species
GCGGCCUAUCAGCUUGUUGGUGGGGUAACGGCCCACCAAGGCGACGACGGGUAGCCGGCCUGAGAGGGCGACCGGCCACACUGGGACUGAGACACGGCCCAGACUCCUACGGGAGGCAGCAGUGGGGAAUAUUGCGCAAUGGGCGAAAGCCUGACGCAGCGACGCCGCGUGAGGGAUGAAGGCCUUCGGGUUGUAAACCUCUUUCAGCAGGGAAGAAGCGAAAGUGACGGUACCUGCAGAAGAAGCACCGGCUAACUGCGUGCCAGCAGCCGCGGUAAUACGUAGGGUGCAAGCGUUGUCCGGAUUUAUUGGGCGUAAAGAGCUCGUAGGCGGUCUGUCACGUCGGAUGUGAAAACCCAGGGCUCAACCCUGGGCCUGCAUUCGAUACGGGCAGACUUGAGUGUGGUAGGGGAGACUGGAAUUCCU